CUACGGGUCGCACCAGUGAGGAAUAUUGCACAAUGGGGGGAACCCUGAUGCAGCAACGCCGCGUGGAGGAUGACGCAUUUCGGUGUGUAAACUCCUUCUAUAUGUCAAGAAAAUGACGGUAGCAUAUGAAUAAGCACCGGCUAACUCCGUGCCAGCAGCCGCGGUAAUACGGAGGGUGCAAGCGUUACUCGGAAUCACUGGGCGUAAAGGACGCGUAGGCGGGUUGGAAAGUCAGGUGUGAAAUCCUACAGCCUAACUGUAGAACUGCACUUGAAACUUCUAAUCUAGAGUAUGGGAGGGGGAGAUGGAAUUAGUGGUGUAGGGGUAAAAUCCGUAGAUAUCACUAGGAAUACCUAAAGCGAAGGCGAUCUCCUGGAACAUUACUGACGCUAAGGCGUGAAAGCGUGGGGAGCAAACAGGAUUAGAUACCCCAGUAGUC
rnacentral:rRNA from 1 species